GACGAGCGCUGGCGGCGUGCUUAACACAUGCAAGUCGAACGGUGAAGCGCCUUCCUUUUUGGUGGGUGUGGAUGAGUGGCGAACGGGUGAGUAACACGUGAGUAACCUGCCCCCUUCUUCUGGAUAACCGCAUGAAAGUGUGGCUAAUACGGGAUAUUCUGGGUCUGUCGCAUGAUGGGUCUGGGAAAGAUAUUGUUUCGGUGGGGGAUGGGCUCGCGGCCUAUCAGCUUGUUGGUGGGGUGAUGGCCUACCAAGGCGGUGACGGGUAGCCGGCCUGAGAGGGUGGACGGUCACACUGGGACUGAGACACGGCCCAGGCUCCUACGGGAGGCAGCAGUGGGGAAUAUUGCACAAUGGGCGCAAGCCUGAUGCAGCGACGCCGCGUGAGGGAUGGAGGCCUUCGGGUUGUGAACCUCUUUCGCCAGUGAAGCAGGCCUGCCUCGUUUGUGGGUGGGUUGACGGUAGCUGGAUAAGAAGCGCCGGCUAACUACGUG
rnacentral:rRNA from 1 species